AGACCUUAAUAUAGGGCUGAGGAACCUGUCACAAUACAGACUCCUCUUAAAGAGCCACAUACAAUAAGUAAAGUUAGCAAAUGUUUAUUAAAUGAUAAAUUGAACUCAGAAACACUUAACUUUAGUGUUUCCACCAAAAGUAAAUGUCUUUGCUUCAAGAAAAGGCACAAAACAGGAACAGAAAGAUAACCCAGAUUAUCUAGUUUGAUAAUCUGGUUCAAAUAUAACCAAAACGUUCACUGAAACAAGCGCCACGCUAUGCUGUGGCACAGAGAGUCAGGGAAGCGCCAAACACUCUAAAAUAAUGAGUGCAAAUGAUACCGUUGUCAGAAGCCAAGCCAAGUUCAAAAGCCAAAAGCGCCAAGCCAGGAGCAAAACGCUGUCGUCAGGAGCCAAACUGGGUUCAAGAGCCAGGAACGCCAAACCAGGAACCUCAAAGCAGGAACGAACACUGUUGUCAGGAGCCAAACUGGAUUCAGGAGCCAGGAACGCCAAGCCAGAAACGCCAAGCCAGGGAUGCCAAAGCAGGAAUGAACGCUGUUGUCAGGAGCCAAACUGUAUUCAGGAGCCAGGAGCGCCAAGCCAGAAAUGCCAAGUCAGGAAUCAAUCCUGAUUCAGAACAUGAAGCUGUACAGCCAGGACCCAAGGAGAACAGGCAGCGACAAAGCAAUGUCCCAAAAACGACACCUUGCCUUCUGCAAGGGACCAUCAAUUUCAACUCCACUUCUAACUUACACCUCGGAGUCCGAUGAUGAUGAGGCCUCCACCCUGUCAUUAUCCACAGCUGAUCUUGAUCUCAUAUGUGAACCUCACCCACCAGCCCUCCAAUCACUCCAUCUUUGUUCAAGACUUAGAUCUCCCCAUGUCUCUGGUGUACCAGUAGCAUGCCAGUCUCCCGAUGCACCCUUAGAAACUGGUGCUGCACACACAUUUACUUGAGUCCAACCUGCAGCUUAUUCCAUCCCACUCUCAGACCCAUCAUCCCCAGAAAAACCUUCAAACGUUUCAUCUUCCGUGGGAGCAGUAAGUAUAUCAUGAAUCUUCUUUCUUUCCCUUUCCUCAUCUGACUCUUGCUCCCGAGUUGACCUCCUAGUUCCUCUACUCUCUUCCUCCAUUGAGUCCUCCUCACUAGAGAAGCCUUCAAAGUCUCCUCAUCAGUAGGAGCCAUAAGUAUUUCCCCAAUCCGCUUUACUUGCCGUUCCUCAUCAAACACCUGCUCAACAUUAUCCCUUUUCCUCCUACUAGCAAUUUUACCAGUAGUAGCAGAACUGCCCCUUGGCACAACUACAACAGAACCUGUAACUUGCAGACAGGGU
rnacentral:lncRNA from 1 species